UACAGAGGGGGCAAGCGUUAUUCGGAAUUAUUGGGCGUAAAGAGCGUGUAGGCGGCCAGACAGGUCCGUUGUGAAAACUCGAGGCUCAACCUCGAGAUGUCGAUGGAAACCGUCUGGCUAGAGUCCGGAAGAGGAGUGUGGAAUUCCUGGUGUAGCGGUGAAAUGCGCAGAUAUCAGGAAGAACACCUAUGGCGAAGGCAGCACUCUGGGACGGUACUGACGCUGAGACGCGAAAGCGUGGGGAGCGAACAGG
rnacentral:rRNA from 1 species